GCCCCUGUGGCGCAGUGAGUAGCGCGUUCCGUGCUGCCUUCUCGCGAUGUACAACCACUGAAGACCUACUGAGCACAUAGUACUCCAUAGCCUUCGUGGGUGGUGAUAUUGCCCGUGGUCGGUAUUCCCGAAGUGCGAGUACAUCAAGGGAAGUGCGACAUAGAGAGGUCCUUGGUUCGAAUCCGAGCAGGUGUG